rnacentral:lncRNA from 1 species
UAUAAUUAACAGAGAACAACACAAGAGAUUUAUACUGGUUCACCCAAACAAGGGCUAGUCUAGUCCCGACCAACUGUCGGAAUUCACUCGCCUAAAGGUAAUGGCAAAACCUUUCUAAGCUUUAAGGCUACUUCGCUUAGGAACCAGUCUUUUACGGGUAGACUCACACCUUAGAGUAUCAAGGGCACUCUUAAGAACCUCUAAGUUUUACGGGUAAGUUAGUACCUUAGAGUAUCAAGGAACUCUUAAAAACCUCUCUAAGCUUUAAGGCUACUUCGCUUAGGAACCAGUCUUUUACGGGUAGACUCACACCUUAGAGUAUCAAUGGCACUCUUAAGAACCUCUAACUUUUACGGGUAAGUUAGUACCUUAGAGUAUCAAGGAACUCUUAAAAACCUCUGAAAUCUUUAAAGGUAGACUCAACCUAAGAGUUUUCCCGAAAACUCUAUAAAACCAAACUAGAGCUUUAUGGUUGAGCUCACAAACCUUCUCUAACACUUUGGUACUAUUGAGACAACCCUCUCAACCAAAGUGGACACACACAAGAGGUGAUUAGAGGAGUGGAAUAUUAAAGCAAAACAACACUUCUUACUUGUAAAGAUGAACAAGAAGGUUAGAAGAAGAAGUUGGAGAGCUUUUGAAGCUUUGGAAAGCUAGGACACUUGAGCACUUGAAAGCUUGGAAGCUUGGAGGCAAAAACGUGUGGGCAAGUGUGGAGUGAAAGCUCUUGAGUUUGCU